GACGCUCGGAGCAUGCGCAGAUACUUUGCGUCCUGCCUUGGUGAGGCGCUUGGGGACCUGGAGCUGCUCAGGUCUUUAGAAUUAGGUAAAGAUGAAUCGCUGCUCUCAAAGAUUCGCUUCCCUUUGCCGUUAUUGAAAGUAAUCCCUGCAGCAGUUAGUGUCAGAGUUCUGGAGUUCGAGUUCUUUGGGUAGGAGUAUGAAUCCAGAAAAUCACCUAGCUUCUCUAAAAGCCUGUUGUGGGCGUUUUUGUUUAUGUUUUUGUUUUGUUUUGUUUUUCAAAAAGGGGCUAAUGAAAGAGUAAACAGAUGCGAUGACUUUGGAACCAACUACUGAAGGAAGAUUUCCAGGCAAUCAGGAGUGGGAUUGAUUCCUUUCUUUGCAGAGGAAAUGGGACGUGCACAGGCCAGGAAGCAGGACAUAGCACUCGCUAAGGAUUUCCCAGUAGUCUGAAGUGUUGCCGGCUUGGAAGGGAGGAGGUGAGGUUUAAUUCCAAAAGCAAAUCUAGGGAGGUGUUCUAGAUCUGGGGGCUGUCAGUCACAGUGCCUGACAUGCUCACUGCCCCUUUCAAAAGAAAGUGCCCAGCUUGCUUUAGCCUUGCACAGAAACAGCGAUCUUCUAUACCGAAUGACCAACUAGCUGAGAGGUGAUUGCACGAAGGGUCCGGCAAUCUGUACAGUAGCUGCAAACUUAUGUCCAAACCGGGGAAUCAAAUCCAACCAGAUUCUCUCCCUCUUGCAGAUGGGCCUGGGAUAAGCAGAAACUGAAGCUGAAAAGAUAAGGAUACCAUGAGGAAGGAGGGGCCUGGAGGGAGACAGUGUUAUCCACUGGUGCCAGUGGAGUCAGACAUUUUCAGAGCGUGCUCAUAGAACUGGGGAGGCUCUUCAUGAUGAGAACAAAGGCAAAAAAGAUGUCUUUCCACAGUUUCUUCCUGAGACAUGAACAAGAAAUGGGCACCAGCUGUUCUUGUGAGGAUCCAAACCUCCAAAAUCUGCUUGACCUCUUGGGAUUCAAUUCUUUGAAAUUAGAAAGACACCCUCAAGAAUAAAUUUAAAAAGGAAAAAAAAAAGUUUGGGGCACCUGGGUGGCUCAGUUGGUUGAGCAUCCCAACUCUUGAUUUUGGCUCAGGUCAUUAUCUCAAGGUUCGUGGGUCCAAGCCCCCAGUGCUUGGGCUCUGUGCUGACAAUGCAGAGCCUGCUUGGGAUUCUCUCUCUCUCCCUCUGGCUCUGCCCCUCCCAUGCACUCCCUCUCUCUCCCUCUCUCUCCCUCUCUCUC